GCCGGAAUAGCUCAGUUGGGAGAGCGUUAGACUGAAGUUGUUUACGCAACAAUUAUCUAAAGGCCCGAGGUUCAAUCACGAACGGAACAAUUCGGCG
rnacentral:tRNA from 1 species